rnacentral:lncRNA from 1 species
AAACUGUGCCUCCUCUGAGUUCGAGCAUCCCACCCCAGAGCAUGCUGGACUCCUGGAUUGAUGUCUGGAGCUGUGCAGUGCCACUAUAGCAGAAGGGGACAUACCAGCCUGGAGCAGGAGCUUCCUCGUGGAGCCCAGCGUCCUCCCCCCAGAGACCUUGGACUCAGAUGUUAUCAGAUGUCCAGCCCCCAGAACUCCCUUCCUCCCGUCUCCAGGAACUGUCACUGGCCUACAGCCCAACCAAUGAGCUUAAAUCGAUCUCUGUGAUGAGCUCCAAUUACUGGUCUCAGGACCCUGCCUCAGCAUGGGUCUGGGGUUCCAGGAGAAAGAUAGGACAGUCAUACACCAGCCUUUUCCCUCAAGUGUCCUGGGGACUUUUUCCUACU